rnacentral:rRNA from 1 species
AGACUCUCGGCAACGGAUAUCUCGGCUCUUGCAUCGAUGAAGAACGUAGCGAAAUGCGAUACUUGGUGUGAAUUGCAGAAUCCCGUGAACCAUCGAGUCUUUGAACGCAAGUUGCGCCCGAAGCCAUUAGGCUGAGGGCACGCCUGCCUGGGUGUCGCCCA